GCAGAGUUCUGCUGCGCAAAUGGUACAAUCCCAGCAAAUGAUCAUGGACUACUUACCUUGAGGACGUCGAUUUCUUCGGGGAGAGCUUGUAGGUGGCCUCCCGGGAGAGCUGAGGAGAUGUCACUUUCACAUUCGUCCACGCCUAGUAGCAAUUUACCAUAUGGGACAGGAUUCGUCGUGGGUGAGCUGGUCGCGGGGCGGGAGGACGACGGCGUAGAAGCGAGCGGUGGUGAUGAGGACGAGGCCGGCGUUGGGGCGCUCCAGCACCUAGGAAACCUCCCGCGACGAGCACCUUCCCCGGCGCCGACGCCGACGCCGCCCCCCUGCCCUGCCCUGCCACAGGGAUCGGUCGAACGGUCAGACCUGGAUCGAGGGCUAGGCAAUCGAGGUCAAAGAAAGAGAAACACUCACACUUCCAUUCUCGGCUUCGGCGGCGAGGGGGGACGCGAUCCGGAGCUCACGGCCGGCGGCGGGAAAUGCCGGGUAGCGCACGCGGCGCGGCGCAAGCACGACGACGCACGCCGCCUUUCGAGGUCGCUCCGCUUACGGCGGGGCGGGGCAUAG
rnacentral:lncRNA from 1 species